AGUUUGAUCCUGGCUCAGGAUGAACGCUGGCGGCGUGCUUAACACAUGCAAGUCGAACGAGGUCCAUGGAGCUUGCUCCGGACGACCUAGUGGCGAACGGGUGCGUAACACGUGAGAAACCUGCCCCGAUCUCUGGGAUAACAGUUGGAAACGACUGCUAAUACCGGAUGCCGUCACACCGCUUCAUGGCGGAGUGCCGAAAGAUUCAUCGGAUCGGGAGGGUCUCGCGGCCUAUCAGCUAGUUGGAGAGGUAACGGCUCACCAAGGCAUCGACGGGUAGCUGGUCUGAGAGGAUGAUCAGCCACACUGGGACUGAGACACGGCCCACACUCCUACGGGAGGCAGCAGUGGGGAAUCUUGCACAAUGGGCGAAAGCCUGAUGCAGCAACGCCGCGUGCGGGAAGAAGGCCCUAGGGUUGUAAACCGCUUUCAGUAGGGAAGAAAAUGACGGUACCUACAGAAGAAGGUGCGGCCAACUACGUGCCAGCAGCCGCGGUGACACGUAUGCACCAAGCGUUAUCCGGAUUUAUUGGGCGUACAGAGCUCGUACGCGGUUUGGUAAGUCGGGUGUGAAAACUCUGGGCUCAACCCAGAGAGGCCACCCGAUACUGCUAUGACUAGAGUACGGUAGGG
rnacentral:rRNA from 1 species